rnacentral:rRNA from 1 species
AGGGGGGUAGAAUUCCAGGUGUAGCGGUGAAAUGCGUAGAGAUCUGGAGGAAUACCGGUGGCGAAGGCGGCCCCCUGGACAAAGACUGACGCUCAGGUGCGAAAGCGUGGGGAGCAAACAGGAUUAGAUACCCUGGUAGUCCACGCCGUAAACGAUGUCGACUUGGAGGUUGUGCCCUUGAGGCGUGGCUUCCGGAGCUAACGCGUUAAGUCGACCGCCUGGGGAGUACGGCCGC